GUAGAAAGAUAGCUGAAGGCACUGUUAGUGUGUCCGCUGCCUGACACGAGGUGACACCUUCCUGAUAGAGUACUGAUCCAGGCGUGUGGAAUUCAGGGGCGAAUACCCCAAAUCUCUUCCCUGAUGGAGCUGACAGUUUAGCAGAGAACAACAUGACAGGAAGUUAAAUUUGAUUUUUCACUGUUGACUAACAUUGCUGUGCUGAGAAGCCAAAAGGGAAGGCAGCUGGGUCCUUGCUUCACUGAGCUUACAGUCUUGUACGGGAGACAGAAAAGAAAGUCAUCAUACACACGAGGCUCUGAAAAGUCCUAGAGAAUCAUCAAACCUGAGGAUGGUCUGGGGUCCCUCGAACAACUUCUCCAACAGCACCUCCUACUCUCAGAACCACCAACUCAGAGGCAGAAGGCUGAGUGAGAGCAGAGAGCCCCUCAGCUUCCUGCAACACGUCACCUGCUCAGAGCAGGGUCUCUCAGGACAGCACAGCAGCCGUGAGUGGACACUUCAGGAAGGGGCGACAGAUACGGCCAGGUGCCACAUCUCUGGUAUGGGAGGUCUGACCUUGCAGAAUGGUGACAACUCGUCUUCACAACGUGCCUUGUUACAGCUGAGGAGCCAGCAAGUUUGCCUGGGAUCUCCAAAUUUUCCAGUCAAA